rnacentral:rRNA from 1 species
AUGGCUGUCAUAGAUGUCGAUGAGUUCAUCUUCUCAACAAGCUGGGCAGGAUUAGAGAAGCCAUCAAAAUCUUUGCUAGAGCCCAUCAUUUCUGUUGAUGAUAGCGUUGGCCAAAUAUACCUUGCGUGUUAUGAUUUUGCCCCCUCGGGCCAAACAGCACAUCCACCAGAGGGGGUCUGCGAGGGCUACACUUGCCGGUUGAAGAACCCGCAGCGGCACAAAUGCUUGGUCCAUCUCGACACCGUGGAACCAUCCCUCAUGAAUGUGGUCCAUCAUUUUAAGCUCAAGCCUGCUUUCAAAAGCAUCUGGACCGCGUUCGCACGUGUUAACCACUACAAAUACCAAGCUUGGUCGGAGUUCAAAGUCAAGUUCAAGAGGCGCGUGUCUGCUACUCUGCUUAUGUGGCUGAUUGGAAAGAUCCGAUCAACCUCGACUCAAAGGACCAGGCUCCUGGCUUAG